CUCCCAAAAAUUGUACACCUUCUCCUAAAUCAAAUAUCACUCAUUCCCCUAAUCAAAUCUCUCUCCCAAAAUUGAAAUUGCUCUCCCACCACCACCGCCCUACCACCAGCACCGCGGGCUAUCAUCUUCCACCACCACUUGCAGUAGUCAUUCGGUCUGCUUCUUCCACCAACGCUCUAUCCUUUUACAGGACCCACACUUUUCGAGCCUCUACCACCACCGUCGUCUGUCCUCUAACACCACCACCACUCGCAGUAGUCCAUAACAGAAAAAUUACGGCUUUGGCGGGUCGGAUUGCGGCGUGUACCUUCUUCUGGUACGACUCGCAGGAGUGAGAAAGGGAGGAGGAUCUGUGACCUAGCUAGUGGUAAAUCAUUUAUUUUUUUUAAAUUGAAAGGUGCAUGGGAGACUCUGAGGUAGACGUUGACAGUCCUGUUCUGAAAGAAGAGUAGAUGUCCAGGUUGGUAAAAGGAUCAAGGGGUGAUGUAACCAUCACAAUAUUGAGUAAAGUUGGAGAAAGGUGCUGUCCUGAGGGCCAUUUGUGCUGGUUUUGAGGAACCAACUGAGCCAACUGUUUGUUUGAGUGGUAGUAAGCUUUAAUUUUAGUCUGAUACUAAUUAGGGAAAAUUUUG